GACAGAGGGGGCAAGCGUUGCUCGGAAUCACUGGGCGUAAAGGGCGCGUAGGCGGGUCCGCAAGUCGAUCGUGAAAUCCUUCGGCUCAACUGAAGGGGGUCGGUCGAUACUGCGGGUCUUGAGGGAUGCAGAGGAGACUGGAAUUCCCGGUGUAGCGGUGAAAUGUGUAGAGAUCAUGAGGAAGACCAGUGGCGAAGGCGGGUCUCUGGACAGUUCCUGACACUGAGACACGAAGGCCAGGGGAGCAAACGGG
rnacentral:rRNA from 1 species